GUGCCAGCAGCCGCGGUAAUACGUAGGGUGCGAGCGUUAAUCGGAAUUACUGGGCGUAAAGCGUGCGCAGGCGGUUUUGUAAGCCAGAUGUGAAAUCCCCGGGCUUAACCUGGGAAUGGCAUUUGGGACUGCAAGGCUUGAGUUUGGCAGAGGAGACUGGAAUUCCUGGUGUAGCAGUGAAAUGCGUAGAUAUCAGGAGGAAUACCGAUGGCGAAGGCAGGUCUCUGGGCUAGAACUGACGCUCAUGCACGAAAGCGUGGGGAGCAAACAGGAUUAGAUACCCUUGUAGUCC
rnacentral:rRNA from 1 species